AAUAGAUACCCCGGUAGUCCACGCCGUAAACGAUGAGUGCUAAGUGUUAGAGGGUUUCCGCCCUUUAGUGCUGCAGCAAACGCAUUAAGCACUCCGCCUGGGGAGUACGGCCGCAAGGCUGAAACUCAAAGGGAAUUGACGGGGGCCCGCACAAGCGGUGGAGCAUGUGGUUUAAUUCGAAGCAACGCGAAGAACCUUACCAGGUCUUGACAUCUCCUGACAAUCCUAGAGAUAGGACGUUCCCCUUCGGGGGACAGGAUGACAGGUGGUGCAUGGUUGUCGUCAGCUCGUGUCGUGAGAUGUUGGGCUAAGUCCCGCAACGAGCGCAACCCUUGAUCUUAGUUGCCAGCAUUUAGUUGGGCACGUCUAAGGUGACUGCCGGUGACAAACCGGAGGAAGGUGGGGAUGACGUCAAAUCAUCAUGCCCCUUAUGACCUGGGCUACACACGUGCUACAAUGGAUGGUACAAAGGGCAGCAAAGCGGCGACGCCUAGCAAAUCCCAUAAAACCAUUCUCAGUUCGGAUUGU
rnacentral:rRNA from 1 species